rnacentral:lncRNA from 1 species
UUUUUAUUGCAUGAUUGAUAACUUUAACAAAUACGUUAUAAGUCCCUCUCCCAACUAUGACUACGUUAUAAUCAAUAGUAAUACUUCCAUUUUUUUCAAUUCUACGGGGAAGGCAUCGGCGGAUCCUCUGACGACACCCCGGGACCGUAGUGUGGUUGGGAAGUCAACGGCGAAUCCCUGGGGCAAGCGCAGUUUCCACCGAUGCAAACGCACGGUGUCUUACAUUGACAUGGCUCGAUUUGGUUAACUCUUCCUUCUGCUCCAAUGUUUGAAGUCUCACCUACAAUAUAAUCGCAUUGUCAGAUGAAAUUAUUAAUCGGGUAUUAUUCAACCGUAUUCACAAUUUUUCUAACAAUAAUACCCGAGAAAAAAAUUAUAUACCUACGAUAAAAAUCAGGAGCACAAUCAUUAAAACCAGUUUCGUAGAUGCCUUAUCCAUUUCUCUCUUUAGAUAUCUCUCCUUAGAACUUCGUAGUACCGACAGUUGCAAGUAUUAGAUUCAUUUUCUCUCUCUUACUCUAUCGUGUACAUUAACGCAGUGUUCGAGAGUAUCAAGGACUUGUAGUUAGCACGUUAAUAACGAUUAUGACUCGUUACAAAAGAUUAUAAUCCGUUAGUGCAUCAUUCAUGAUUGUUUUCUUCUCAUGGAAAAGGUCAUAGUUCGAGUUUGUAGCGUUGUGGGGAUAGUGGAUGAUGAUGAUUUCUUUUCAAUUUUUGGAAAUAUAGACUUUGCUAGGUACGCUCGUGUGGCUCAUAAUCUCAGAC